GUUGUGGCUCAGUGGUAGAGCACUUGCCUCACACGUAUGAGGCACUGAGUUUGAUUCACUGCAUACA
rnacentral:tRNA from 1 species